UGUAGGUCAGGCUCAGUUUGUUUGAUGCUAUCAACUAAACAUGGAGUCCUAUCUUUGAGACCUUGUAAAUGUUUUUGGAGAGUUUCUUCCAAAAGUUAGUGCUUGUAAAGGAUAGCGAGUAAUUCUUCCUCAUACUUCAUUAUAUGUAUCAAGGUGUGUUGGGCAUAAAACUUUUUAGUGCACAUCAAUGAGCUUUUAAAUCC